GCGUUCUCUAAAGCUUCCAAAAGGAUCCAGUCCCAGAUACAUAUUACAUUUAGUCAUCAUGGCUCCUUUGUCUCCUCUGCACAAGGGGAAGCAGCCUGUGGCCCUCACCAGAUGCAGAUAUCCAAUCUUCCAGCAAACAGAAUCGGUCUGCCUGUCCUCACAUAAGCCAAUCCAUUCUCCAUCUCCUUUAAGCAGACAUAUACUGCCUCACGAGGAAACUGACAUCCAGUAAAAGAUCAACAUUAAACAUAAGCCUCGUAGCAGAACCAUAAUAGAACCCUGCACUCAUGAUGCCUUCUGAGGACUCUGCCCAUCUUCCUUGAUUAACUCCAGAAUACAGAAGCAACCCUAAAAAUGCAAGCAAACAUCCUGAAGAAGUCAGGAAUGGAUUUUUCUAAGACUCUGUACAGGCAUACCUCAAAGAUAUUGUGGGUUGGAUCCAGACUACUACAAUAAAGAGACUAUAAUAAUAAGUUAAGUCACAUAAAUUUUUUAUUUACUUAAAUUAUAUAUACACUAUAUUGUAGUCUAUUAAGUAUGCAAUAGCAUUAUGUCUUAAAAUUUGUGUAUAUCUUAAUUUAAACAUAUUUUAUUGUGAAAAAUGCUAACAAUCAUCUUGAGCCUUCAGUGAGUUAUAAUCUUUUUGCUGAUGGAGCAUCUUACCUCAAUUAUGGUGACUGUUGACAGAGUGGUGGUUGCUGAAGGAUG
rnacentral:lncRNA from 1 species